GAACGCUGGCGGCGUGCUUAACACAUGCAAGUCGAACGGAGCUUGUUGGAAAGAGACUUCGGUCAAUUGAAUUCAAGCUUAGUGGCGGACGGGUGAGUAACGCGUGAGUAACCUGCCUUGGAGUGGGGAAUAACACAGAGAAAUUUGUGCUAAUACCGCAUAAUGCAUUUGUAUCGCAUGGUACUGAAUGCCAAAGAUUUAUCGCUGAAAGAUGGACUCGCGUCCGAUUAGAUAGUUGGUGGGGUAACGGCCUACCAAGUCGACGAUCGGUAGCCGAACUGAGAGGUUGAUCGGCCGCAUUGGGACUGAGACACGGCCCAGACUCCUACGGGGAGGCAGCAGUGGGGGAUAUUGCACAAUGGAGGAAACUCUGAUGCAGCAACGCCGCGUGAGGGAAGACGGUCUUCGGAUUGUAAACCUAAGUUAUCAGGGACGAUUAUGACGGUACCUGAAGAGAAAGCUCCGGCUAACUACGUG
rnacentral:rRNA from 1 species